rfam:TPA: Bos taurus chromosome 8, whole genome shotgun sequence.
UCCCUGGUAGUCCAGUGGUUAGGACUUUGAGUUUCCAAUGCCAGGGGCCUGGGUUUGAUUCCUGGUCAGGGAA